rnacentral:tRNA from 1 species
AGAGGGUUGGGUGAGUGGCUGAAACCAGCAGUUUGCUAAACUGCCGUACGGGUUAAACUGUACCGGGGGUUCGAAUCCCCCACCCUCUGCGA